CCUACGGGUGGCAGCAGUGAGGAAUAUUGGUCAAUGGGCGAGAGCCUGAACCAGCCAAGUCGCGUGAGGGAGUACUGCCCUAUGGGUUGUAAACCUCUUUUGUCGGGGAGCAAAAGCCGGACGUGUCCGGCUGUGAGAGUACCCGAAGAAAAAGCAUCGGCUAACUCCGUGCCAGCAGCCGCGGUAAUACGGAGGAUGCGAGCGUUAUCCGGAUUUAUUGGGUUUAAAGGGUGCGCAGGCGGAUUUUUAAGUCAGCGGUAAAAUCGUGGGCUCAACCCCCUCCAGCCGUUGAAACUGGGGAUCUAGAGUGUGCGAGAGGUAUGCGGAAUGCGUGGUGUAGCGGUGAAAUGCAUAGAUAUCACGAAGAACCCCGAUUGCGAAGGCAGCAUACCGGUGCACAACUGACGCUCAGGCACGAAAGCGUGGGGAUCGAACAGGAUUAGAUACCCUUGUAGUC
rnacentral:rRNA from 1 species